CAGCCGCCGCGGGAAUACGUAGGUGGCAAGCGUUGUCCGGAAUUAUUGGGCGUAAAGGGCUCGCAGGCGGUUUCUUAAGUCUGAUGUGAAAGCCCCCGGCUCAACCGGGGAGGGUCAUUGGAAACUGGGAAACUUGAGUGCAGAAGAGGAGAGUGGAAUUCCACGUGUAGCGGUGAAAUGCGUAGAGAUGUGGAGGAAUACCAGUGGCGAAGGCGACUUUCUGGACUGCAACUGACACUGAGGCACGAAAGCGUGGGGAGCAAACAGGAUUAGAUACCCCCGUAGUCCCUGUCUCUUAUAC
rnacentral:rRNA from 1 species